rnacentral:rRNA from 1 species
CCUACGGGAGGCAGCAGUGGGGAAUUUUGGACAAUGGGCGAAAGCCUGAUCCAGCCAUUCCGCGUGAGUGAAGAAGGCCUUCGGGUUGUAAAGCUCUUUCGCAAGGGAAGAAAACUUAGAUACUAAUAUUAUCUGAGGUUGACGGUACCUUGAUAAGAAGCACCGGCUAACUACGUGCCAGCAGCCGCGGUAAUACGUAGGGUGCGAGCGUUAAUCGGAAUUACUGGGCGUAAAGCGUGCGCAGGCGGUUUUGUAAGUCAGAUGUGAAAUCCCCGAGCUCAACUUGGGAACUGCGUUUGAAACUACAAGACUAGAAUAUGUCAGAGGGGGGUAGAAUUCCACGUGUAGCAGUGAAAUGCGUAGAGAUGUGGAGGAAUACCAAUGGCGAAGGCAGCCCCCUGGGAUAAUAUUGACACUCAUGCACGAAAGCGUGGGGAGCAAACAGGAUUAGAUACCCUGGUAGUCCACGCCCUAAACGAUGUCUACUAGUUGUUGGUGGAGUAAAAUCCAUGAGUAACGCAGCUAACGCGUGAAGUAGACCGCCUGGGGAUACGGUCGCAAGNUUAAAACUUAAGGAAAUUGACGG